GCCACUACAUGCUGCUAGACGUCACUGAUGAAUUUUGGGACCAAUGAAAAUUAUUUUGAUGGUCAAUAAUUCUCGAUUAGAGAGUUAGAAUUAUUCUAAUCUAUUGAAAAGAGUUUCAAUGAUAUUUUGAUAGAGAUCAAAAUAUUUCUCACUACUAGAUAAAAUAGAACCUAUGGGCCACAAAUAAAGAGGUCUUAACUUAUCAAAAAGAGUUUCAUUAGACUGAGACUCUAGAGUCCCAC
rnacentral:lncRNA from 1 species